rnacentral:rRNA from 1 species
UUUAACUGAGCGUUCAGUUACUUGACGUAGACCCGAAACCGGGCGACCUACCCAUGAGCAGGAUGAAGCGAAAGUAAAAUUUCGUGGAGGUCCGAACCCACGAGCGUUGAAAAGCUCGGGGAUGACUUGUGGGUAGCGGUGAAAUUCCAAUCGAGCCCGGAGAUAGCUGGUUCUCCCCGAAAUAGCUUUAGGGCUAGCCUCAAGGUGAGAGAUACGGAGGUAGAGCACUGAAUGUCCUAGGGGGUAUUGCACCUACCGAAGACUAUCAAACUCCGAAUGCCGUCAUCUUAUACUUGGGAGUCAGACUGUGGGUGAUAAGAUUCAUAGUCGAAAGGGCAACAGCCCAGAUCGUCAGCUAAGGUCCCUAAAUGUAAGUUAAGUGGUAAAGGAUGUGGGAUUGCACAGACAACCAGGAUGUUGGCUUAGAAGCAGCCACUCAUUCAAAGAGUGCGUAAUAGCUCACUGGUCGAGUGAUCCUGCGCCGAAGAUUUCCGGGGCUAAAACUUACUACCGAAGCUACGGCAUCAGUAAUGAUGGGUAGGGGAGCUUCCCAUACGGGUUGAAGCAUGACCGUAAGGACAUGUGGACAGUAUGGGAGGGAGAAUGUUGGCAUGAGUAGCGAGAUGUGGGUGGGAAUCCCACAGGCCGUAAACCCAAGGUUUCCAGGGGAAGGUUCGUCC